rnacentral:rRNA from 1 species
UACGGGGGGGGGCAAGCGUUGUUCGGAAUUACUGGGCGUAAAGGGCUCGUAGGCGGCCAACUAAGUCAGACGUGAAAUCCCUCGGCUUAACCGGGGAACUGCGUCUGAUACUGGAUGGCUUGAGUUUGGGAGAGGGAUGCGGAAUUCCAGGUGUAGCGGUGAAAUGCGUAGAUAUCUGGAGGAACACCGGUGGCGAAGGCGGCAUCCUGGACCAACACUGACGCUGAGGAGCGAAAAGCCCAGGGGGAGCAAACAGGG